GCGCUGGGCGCUUCCAGUUCCGGCGCUGGGAGGAGCUCAGCCGCUGGCGCAGUGGACGCUGCUGCAGGCAGUGGGCUGCUCCCGGUGUCUCCGGCUCCAUCCUCUCGGAAGCGCCGCCGCCGCCUGCGGACCCUGCCGCGAGCUCGGCUUUCGUCCGAUUGGCUCAACUCUUACACCAACUGUCUCUAUUCCUCUUCUACACUGCAAAGAACACUUUCCAGGAGUUUCCAGAACCUAGUUUGACAAAAGAAGGAUAAGACAUCAGUUUGAGAAGAGCCCUUAUCAGAGCAACAUGAAUUCAGCUAAGAUUGAAGCAAGAACAAACAUCAAAUUUAUGAUGAAGCUUGGGUGGAAGAAUGGUGAAAUCAUUGAUGCUUUACGAAAAGUUUAUGGGGACAGUGCACCAAAGAAGUCAGCAGUUUACAAAUGGAUAACUCGUUUUAAGGAGGGUCGAGAGGAUGUCGAAGAUGAAGCUCGCAGUGGCAGGCCAUCUACAUCAAUUUGCGAGGAAAAGAUUAAUCUUGUCCGUGCCCUCAUUGAAGAGGACCGACCAUUAACAGCAAAAGCAAUUGCCAACACCAUAGACAUCUCGAUUGGUUCAGCUUACAAGAUUCUGACUGAAAAGUUAAAGUUGAGCAAGCUGUCUGCUCGAUGGGUCCCGAGAUUGUUGGGCCCAGAUCAGCUGCACACAAGAGCGGAGCUUGCAAAGGAAAUUUUAAAUGAGUGGGAUCAAGAUCCUGAAGCAUUUCUUAGAAGAAUUGUAACAGGAGAUGAAACGGCUUUACCCGUGCUGUCCUGAAGACAAAGCACAAUCAGAGCAAUGGCUACCAAGAGGUGGAAGUGGUCCAGUCAAGAAAAAAGGUCAAAAGGUCAUAGCAACCUUUUUUUUUUUUUUUUUUUUUUUUGAAUACUCAGUGCAUUUUACUUGUUGACUUUGAGGGCCAAAUAAUGAUAUUUGUGAGUUGUGAGAGUAUUUUGAAACUAUUACUCAAAGCUUUAGUGGAAAAUUGGCCAGGAAAGCCACAUCAGAGAGCCCUUCUGCACCAUAACAGUGCUCCUGCUUAUUCCUCUGACCAAACAUGCAGCUUUGCUAGUCUGGAUUUGAUUCCUUUGACUUCUGUUUGUUUCCUAAUGUUAGUAAGGCUUAAAAAGCCCAUUUUUUCUUCACUUAAAAAUGUAAAAACAGACUGUAUUCACAUAGUUAAAUGCCUAGUAUCCUCAGUUCUUUAGGAAUUGUCUAGAUGACUGCUAUUAUCCCUUGCAGCUGUAUCUUGAUGUUGAUGGAGCUUAUGUUGAAAAAUAAAGCUUAUAUAUUUUA